rnacentral:rRNA from 1 species
GAUGAACGCUGGCGGCGUGCCUAAUACAUGCAAGUCGAGCGAACGGACGAGAAGCUUGCUUCUCUGAUGUAGCGGCGGACGGGUGAGUAACACGUGGAUAACCUACCUAUAAGACUGGGAUAACUUCGGGAAACCGGAGCUAAUACCGGAUAAUAUUUUGAACCGCCUGGUUCAAAAGUGAAAGACGGUCUUGCUGUCACUUAUAGAUGGAUCCGCGCUGCAUUAGCUAGUUGGUAAGGUAACGGCUUACCAAGGCAACGAUGCAUAGCCGACCUGAGAGGGUGAUCGGCCACACUGGAACUGAGACACGGUCCAGACUCCUACGGGAGGCAGCAGUAGGGAAUCUUCCGCAAUGGGCGAAAGCCUGACGGAGCAACGCCGCGUGAGUGAUGAAGGUCUUCGGAUCGUAAAACUCUGUUAUUAGGGAAGAACAUAUGUGUAAGUAACUGUGCACAUCUUGACGGUACCUAAUCAGAAAGCCACGGCUAACUACGUG